AUUGAACGCUGGCGGCAGGCCUAACACAUGCAAGUCGAACGAGUGGCGGACGGGUGAGUAAUGUCUGGGAAACUGCCCGAUGGAGGGGGAUAACUACUGGAAACGGUAGCUAAUACCGCAUACCAUCGGAUGUGCCCAGAUGGGAUUAGCUUGUAGGUGAGGUAACGGCUCACCGAGGCGACGAUCCCUAGCUGGUCUGAGAGGAUGACCAGACACACGGAGACUGGUAAACGGUGCAGAGUCCGUGGGGAGGUAGAAGUGGGGAUGAUUGCAAAAUGGGGGGAAGCCUGAGGUAGUCAGGGCGCGUGGAUGAAGAAGGCAUUCGGGUUGUAAAGUACUUUAAGCGGGGAGGCGUUACCCGCAGAAGAAGCACAGGCUAACUCCGUGCCUGCAGCCGCGGUAAUAC
rnacentral:rRNA from 1 species